UGCAGCUCGAGCGCCGUAUCAUACGGAGCGGCAGACGGGAGAGUAACACGUGGGAACGUACCCUUCAUUUCGGAACAACCCAGGGGAAACUUGGGCUAAUACCGGAUACGCCCUUACGGGGAAAGAUUUAUCGCUGAAGGAUCGGCCCGCGUCUGAUUAACUAGUUGGUGGGGUAACGGCCCACCAAGGCGACGAUCAGUAGCUGGUCUGANAGGAUGAUCAGCCUCACUGGGACUGAGACACGGGCCAGACUCCUACGGGAGGCAGCACUGGGGAAUAUUGGACAAUGGGCGCAUGCCUGAUCCAACCAUGCCGCGAGGGUGAUGAAGGCCCUAGGGUUGUAAAGCCCUUUCGGCGGGGAAGAUAAUGACGGUACCCGCUGAAGAAGCCCCGGCUAACUUCGUGCCAGCAGCCGCGGUAAUACGAAGGGGGCUAGCGUUGCUCGGAAUCACUGUUCUUAAAGCGCACGUAGGCGGCUUCUUUAGUUCAGGGGUUGAAAUCCUGUAGCUCAACUCCAGAACUGCCUUUGAUACUGAGGAGCUCGAGUCCCGAAGAUGUGAGUGGAACUGCAGAGUGA
rnacentral:rRNA from 1 species